rnacentral:rRNA from 1 species
UACGGCGGGUGCGAGCGUUGUCCGGAAUCAUUGGGCGUAAAGGGCGCGUAGGUGGCCCGGUCAGCGUGCGGUGAAAGCUCGGGGCUCAACCCCGAGUCGGCCGUGCGAACUGCUGGGCUUGAGCACUGUAGAGGCAGGCGGAAUUCCCGGUGUAGAGGUGAAAUUCGUAGAUAUCGGGAGGAACACCGGUGGCGAAGGCGGCGACCUGGGUCGACACUGACGCUGAGGCGCGAAAGCGUGGGGAGCAAACAGG